rnacentral:rRNA from 1 species
UUAAAGAAAAUAAAUAAUAUUUAUUCUUAAAAAUAAUUUUUAUAAAAAAAAUAAUUUUAAAUUUUUAUUAAUAAGUAAAUUAUAUUAAAAUUAUAUUUAUUUUAUUAAAGUAUUGUAAAAGAAAUUUUUAUAAUUAUAAAUUUAAAUUUAAUUAAUUUAUACCUUUUGUAUCAGGGUAAUUUAAAAUAAUAUUAAUAAUAAUAAUUAUCUCGAAAUAAAUUGAAUUAAUUUAUUAUUAUAUAUAUUAUGUAAUUAAUAUUAUUAAUAAUAAUUUAGAAAAAAAAUUUUAUUCAAAAUUUAUAAUAUCUAGUUAUUUUAUAAAUAAAUUUAAUUUAUUAUAAUAAAUAAUAUAAAUAAUAUUUAUAUUAUAUAUAUUUUUAUUAUUAAAAAUUAUUAGAGAUUAAUUUAAUAAUUAUAUUAAUAUAAUAAAUUAAAAUUUUUUAUUAUAAUAAAAUUUAAAAUUUUUAUUAAUAAUUAAUUUAUAAUAAUUAAUAAAUAUAAAAUUUAAUUUAAUAAUAAUUAUUUAAAAUUUAUAAAAUUAAUUAUAUUAAUAAUUAAUAUAAUUUAAUAAUGAUUUAAUUAGUAAAACUUUAUAUAAUAAAAUUUAAAUUAAAAUAAAUAUUAAAUUAAUGAAUUCAGCAAUAAUUUUAUUCAACUGUUUAAUAAAAACAUAGUUUAAAGAUUAAUAAUUUUAAAUAUAAUCUGCUCAAUGAAAUUUUUAAAUAGCUGCAGUAUCUUAACUGUACAAAGGUAGCAUAAUCAUUUGUCUUUUUAAUGAAGUCUAGAAUGAAAGAUUUAAUGAAAUAAAAACUUUAUAAAUUUAAUUAAAUUUAAACUUAAUUUUAAAUAAAAAUUUUUAAAUAUAAUUAAAAGACGAGAAGACCCUAUAGAAUUUUAUAUAAAUUAAUAAAAUUAUUUUUAUUAAUAUUUUAAUAUUAUUAAUUAUAUUUUAUUGGGGUAAUAAUAAAAUUUAUAAAAUUUUUAUUUUAUUAAACAAAUUUAUUUGAAAUUAAAUAUCCAAUUAUAUUGAAAUUAAUUUAAAUUACCUUAGGGAUAACAGCGUAAUAAUUUUAAAGAGAUCAUAUUGAAAAAAUUGUUUGCGACCUCGAUGUUGAAUUAAGAUAAAAUAUUUAUGAAGAUAUAAAUUAUUUUUAGUCUGUUCGACUAUUAAAAUCUUACAUGAUUUGAGUUUAGAUCGGCGUAAGCCAGAUCGGAUUCUAUCUUUAAUAAUUUAUAAUAUUUUUGUACGAAAGGACUUUAUAUUAAUAUAAUAUAUUAUUUAAAUUGAAUAUUAUUAAAUUGAUUAAAA